rnacentral:rRNA from 1 species
GAUGAACGCUGGCGGCGUGCCUAAUACAUGCAAGUCGAGCGAACGGACGAGAAGCUUGCUUCUCUGAUGUUAGCGGCGGACGGGUGAGUAACACGUGGAUAACCUACCUAUAAGACUGGGAUAACUUCGGGAAACCGGAGCUAAUACCGGAUGAUAUUUUGAACCGCAUGGUUCAAAAGUGAAAGACGGUCUUGCUGUCACUUAUAGAUGGAUCCGCGCUGCAUUAGCUAGUUGGUAAGGUAACGGCUUACCAAGGCAACGAUGCAUAGCCGACCUGAGAGGGUGAUCGGCCACACUGGAACUGAGACACGGUCCAGACUCCUACGGGAGGCAGCAGUAGGGAAUCUUCCGCAAUGGGCGAAAGCCUGACGGAGCAACGCCGCGUGAGUGACGAAGGUCUCCGGAUCGUAAAACUCUGUUAUUAGGGAAGAACAUAUGUGUAAGUAACUGUGCACAUCUUGACGGUACCUAAUCAGAAAGCCACGGCUAACUACGUG